rnacentral:lncRNA from 1 species
GGGAGAAAGAUGAGAGAGAGGCAAUGGAAGCUGGAGUAGGCAACAUUGUGAUUGAUGGAACCACAAAGCCAGUGAAAGUUUCUCAAUCCGUAAACCCAGCAAAACAGAGUUGAUUCAUUCAGGUUGUGGUCUUUUUUUCCCCAUCUUGAUCUAACCAUUAUUUGACGCUUAUGACAAGUUAGACCAUGGGGUACUUCUGGUUCCCUGUAUACCUUUUUCGUUUGCCUCUUCAUUCUUUUGAGAUAAUCACUGUUGUAUCGUUGUUGAAGCAUUAUAAGAUUUUGAGUACAACCUGUAUCAGUGAGUAUCACAGUAUUCUUUGCGGAAGUUGGAUAUCCUGUCCUUUCUUUUUGCCUUAUUGACGAUGUUUUGUAUCUUUCAUUGCUUGUAUUGUAGAAAGUUGGCCGUGUGUUUCUGUUGAUUUGUGCACAUACGAUGUUAGUGGGGAGAUUCUCUGGUUGAUCCAGCUGAUGGUCUUUUUUCAGGUGAAAGCAGGGCUGUUACAAUUCAAAAACAAGUGCGGUAACUACCAGCAGAAUUAUCUCGUUACUUGUGAGUUGUUCGGCUAACUGGUUGUGCAGUAGCAAGAAUUCUUCUUGCUGAUUGAAAUUUCCUGUUACAUUACAUUGCCGCAUAUUUCUGUUAUAUAAAUUGUUAGUGCCCCUGCAUGAUCGUAUUUCGGGAGAACAAGACGAGAAUUACAGACCACGUAUAUAACAUAAAGAUAAAAUCCAAAGGGGUUAUAAUAUCAAAUAUCAAUACAUAAGUUGGUUAUUGUCCACACUUGGCUAGGAAAGAAGAUGUGAUAAUUCAAAUAAUUAUGGGAACUCUUCUCAAAGGGUACUCCUGUUCAACUUACUCACCAGUGUCACCACAAGCAUAUACUGUGUUUACAAAAGUACAAUCAACAUCAUACACUUGUGAGAUUAGAAAAGGGUGGUUUACACAACCUUGAACUAAGGUAGAGAUUCUAUUUCUUAUAGAUUCUCAGCUCAAGUAUAAGCUUUUAUGGACUCAAUACCUUCUACGUCUGAAUGUCUUGGUAACUUAUAGUGGGAGAUGAUCCUACACUACAUAACAAGCUGGUAAAAGAGAGUGAUGGCUACUCCAAAUUGGCACCCAUGGUAUAUAACUUGAGGAAGAUUUGACUGUCACCUUCUCUCUCAAAUCCUACAGAUCUUGAGACUGGGGACAUAUUCCAUACCUAAUUUUGUUGUUUUCGCCAUUAUAUUGGCAGUGUCUGCGAAGCAUCAUAUUGAUGCGCAAUGAUCCUACGUACCCAGACAUAUGCUAGUAUCCAGCACUGUUUUGGGCACCUACUGCAGUUGAAAGCUGAAUCUUGGUCAAGAUUUAAAUCACCUGCACAUAAAACAAACAAUUCCAAACUCAGGUAGGUUAAGCUACCAGCUGAGGUGAAUCUAGAGUACGACAUAUGGGUUCAGUUGAAUCCAACAACUUUUGCCCAGAUAUAUGUAAAUCAACUACAUAAAUAUUUGACUAUGAAUUCAGUUAUUAUUGUAUAUUAAACUCAAGGUCACUAUAUGAACACAUAAAUUUCAAAUCAUGGGUUUGCCUCUGACUGCCGGUCGUGUUUAACUAGGUUUGCUCAACUGGUGAUAUAGAUGGAAGUCUUUUGACAUGCAAGUUAUGCCCAAUGGCAGACCUACUUAUCAAUCACUGUUUUAUCCCACAUUCCUAAUUCUACUAGAAUAUCCGAGUUCUAGCCAAUUUUAGUUCAUCACCCUUUAUCCAUAUUUCCACCUACAAGUACUUGCGAGUCCAAGAACAUCAUUAUUUCAUGUGCACCACAAGGAGGAGAGUCGGUACUACUUCUUUGUCUCAAUUUAUAUGACAUACUUUCCUUCUUAGUUCGUUCUAAAAAAAUGUCACAAUUCUAUAACUAGAAAUACCUUACUUCAGAAUUUCCUUAAUUUAUAUCCACACAAAUGGUCAAUGAAUUUUUGUUUUAGACCACAAAUUUCAAGGUUUUUCCUUUCUCUUAAACUUGUGCGAAGUCAAACAACGUCACUUAAAUUAGGAUAGUGGGAUUACUAAUUACUUGAGAGGAGGCACUAUACCUGAUUGCGGAAUCAGCAGUUGCUUACAGUAUUUUCCUCGUUCUGAGAUACCAGUACAUGAGAUAAAAGGCCAGAACAGCCCCAACAAUUAUUCCUGCUGUUGUAAGCCAGAAUGCAAACUGCAUUUAAUUAGACAAAUAUAUGAUGAGAAGACAAAAUUCUGGAAAUAUUUUCCCAAAAUGAGGAGAUAUAGAUAACGAGCUCUCGAGAUCAAAGAAACAUACCACAUGUUCCUCUAGAUAGGAUCUUAAGUUCAUGCCAAAUAUACCUGUACAAAAGCCAAAGUAGGUGUGUUAUAACAUGUCGUAUUAGUAUACAUGCGUAUCAAUUUGCAUAUUUGAAUAUUAUCCUUUUAUACAGAUGAACUAUUUGCAGCACUAUAGAAGAAGAAAACCAUCUUUUGUAUUUUAUAAUUCAAUUGCAACCCAUUCUCUACUUUCAGGCUCUCCAAAGAUUUGUACUAAAUAAGGUUCUAGAUUGUCAAGAUGAGACGCUAAGAAAUAAGAUGGAUGUUGGAUGUGUGGUCAUACAAAAUCAGAUUAAAAAUGACCAUAUUUGCCGAAAGAUGCAUGCAUCAAGUGGUGCCAAAAGUUUUAUGAGAGUUUAGAAUUUCUACAUCAUUAAUUAGGCUUUAUUUGGAAGCAUUUAAUACAAAUCCACAUAAGAGAGUAUGCAUGAAAAAUUUAAAAAACUAAACAUGACCAGGUAUUGAUAACGUUAUAACCACAAAAGUAAUAAAUAUUAUACGAGCACGCAUUUAGGAUAAAAUGAGAGGUCUGAUCAUGUCCUACAUCAACCUACAGAUGCACCGAUUUGUAGGUGUGAAACUAAGGUUAUAGAUUUUGCCUCAGAAAAAGUACAAACCAUGAGUGGUAUUUAACCUAAGGAAAAUAGUAACCUCAGAAAAAGUACAAACCAUGAGUGGUAUUUAACCUAAAGAAAUAGAGAUGGGAUAAAAAUUUUUUAUCUUGUUUGGGAUAACUUAUCUCACCAUUUAUAUCAUAGUGAUGGGAUAAGUUAUCCCAGGAUAGCUAACCCCAGGAUAACUUAUCUGGGAUAACUUGUUUCCAACCAAACGACCCCUAAGCAGGAGUAGAAAAACUUGAAAGGGAUGAGACUUGAUUACUCAGAUAGCAAUAACUGACAACCUCGUAGGCUUAUAAUUUUUUUUAAGCCACCAAACAAACCUUAGGUCAAAACAAUGACUGAUCUGUGAAACUUGGACUACGAAGUUGAAAACCUAGCAACUUCAUUUGCUACAGAAGUAGCUCAUUUAUGAACACCGAACUGUUCAAGUGCAUGAUAAAGUCCAACUAUAUCUUAUCUGGGACCAAAAACUGUGCAUUUGGGGUGUGUUUGGUACGGAGGAAAAUAUUUUUCCAAUUUUCUCAAGUUCAGUCAAAAUAUUUGGACAUCCAAAAACAUUUUCCUUCCUACGGAACAUACCUUAAGGUACACUCCUAGAUUUCAGAAAAAAGAAUCUGAAAACAAUACCAUUAAAUUGUAUAACUACAUAUAAUCACGCAUUAAAGUAAGACAUCAAGGCACAUGUAUGAUCUAAAAAUAACCCUCCACCUCCAUGCAGACUGAAUCUAAGAAGUGUUAGAGAGCCAUAUAUUUACAGAUCCUAUCAGUGGAAAAAAGUGAACUCUAAGCGAACUCAAUAGUAGGGCUAUAUCCAUUGCAUCUAAACACAAGCUGAAUUAGUAAUCAUAAUUCAUAGGUGAGAGGUGGACAGAAGUAAUUCUCAUAAAAGUAAUACAUAUGUGCCACUUAAGCCCCGUGAAUUCUACUAGCACUAUGUAUAUCUAAGUUGGAUAUACAUUUGUAUCACAAAAAAUGUCUUAGCAGACAAAACUAAGGGGCAACAACUGAUUCUCAUGAGGAGAUAUCAUAUAAGAAAAUACUGGAUAUGUUUAACUUGUUUUUCUGUUUAUAUUAGUUGGAUAAAUACCUGCUACCAGAGCACCAGCAGCAACACAAAAUGUUCCAACUUGUAGAAUCAACUCGAAUCUGCUCACCUCAAGCCUUCGAGAACUGAAAAGGACAACCAAAAAGUUCACAUUAAAAUCAAGUCUGCUCACUUAAAUGUUUUCAUAACUAAGAAUCAGUAGACCACAGAAGCCAAAACACGACCAAAUCAAGCGCACAUUCACCAAUUGAAAAAUCUGAUAAUCUUGUUUCAGUUGCAAGCUUUUAACUGAUCUGUCAAUCACCAGCGACAACCUAAGUAGAUAUUUCAUUGAUUUCUUGUAUGAGUUUAUGUACAGAAAUCUUAGAAGUUCUAGCUAAAGAACCAUGCUUUUCUACAGUAGAAGCGUGUCUAAAUACUGUUUAGUCAAGGGACAACACAACUUAUCACACCAAAACUUAGAGAAAAAGGUUAUCAAACGUACAGCAUGGAGUUUACGGUUACAUGCUUUCAUCUACUUAUCUCUUACUCUGUUCUUUAAAUACUUUUUUCAUUCUUUUGUGGGAUUAUCAGUUUCUCACACAGUUAUUCUUCUUAAGCAGUCCCCACACAGUUAUUCUUCUUAUCAAGACAAAGUACACGUUCACCAUUGAAAUUUCAGUACAAUUUGUGAAGUCAUUUAUAGAAGUUUUUAAUGCUCUAUUAUUUCAUUUGGUUGAUUUCUCAUUCUCACAACUGAACAAAUGGCUCACUGAUCAAGAACACUAGCAGAAUCUGUUAGCAGUCCCCAUCAAUACUUCUGCCUGACACAUGGGCGGAGCUAGGUGUUGCUAAGGGUGGUUAGAUGAACAACCUUCAUCGGAAGUAUAUAUGUUAAAUAUCGAUAUUUUUGGAUAUAUACUAAUUGUUGAACACCCUUGACAUAGUAAAGAAAGAUAGCCCAGUGGUUAAGGUUGUUUACAUUUGCCUUGGAGGCGUGGGUUCGAGCCCAGACCAAGGAAUUUUAUUUAAUUUUCUUAGUUCCGUUUUUUUCUUUCAUUAGUUCCCUUUUUUUCUUUUAAAAAAGAGAAAGCAAGGUCUAAAUUAUGAACACCCUUGACGAAAAUUCUGGCUCCGCCACUGGCCUGACACUAAAUUUAUCUGCAGAAGGAAACCAGCUUAUAACGUGUCUUCCAUUAUGUUUCUAAAAGCAUGAGUACUGUUUCAGGAAGUUCAGGGGAUGAAAUUAAAUAGACGAGUUCUUCAAAUGAACGAGAGUAACUUUGACCAAUUUUCCCUACAUAUGCACUGUUAUCAACUUUACAUCACCCAGUUCACCAACACAAGGAUAAAGAGCUAAGAAGAAAAGUAAUAAGACAUGUACAAACCUCAAGUUUACAGCAAUUGAGUCUUCCAUUUCUUUUGCAGAAUCAAGGAGUCUUUCAGCUUGACCAUGGCAAGAUUCACAUCUGCAGUUGGAUGAACAAAUGGAAACCUGUUUCAGUAACUUACCAGACUAAUAUUUGGUACAGACAAAUCAUGAAAGGAUGGCUCAAGAUUUUCUGUAUGAUCAUAAAAAAUUGCUUUAUAAUGGACCAAAAAUUUGAUUAUUUACUUUAAAGUUAGAGAUUGUUUGAACCACUAUGCUCUAACUGUCAUAUACUUUGCCAUGAAUAUAAAAUUCAAAAUAUAGGAAGUGUGAAUGGUAUGUAUAAGAAAAAAGUGGAUUGCUUAAAGAUUACCUUCAAUGCACUUCAAGGAUAUCUUAUGCAGGAAUUUCUCUCCAGAUUCUUAUCUAUCACUAUUCACUGUCUCUUGUACUGCGGUUAUCAUACUAUU